GACUGUUAUGCAAACCACCGAAAAUGAAUGUCAAAUUGCUCAUCCAGCACUUCCUAGCUGUAUCUCAGCUUUCCAGUCCAUCAUUCUAGAGCUCGGGAUAAAACUUGGCCAAGCCAGAAGGAAAAUGAAAGAGAAGCUUUGUGAGCCCGUUUACACUCCCUGUGCACACCAUCCACUAGAUUGCUGUGCUGUUCCAAGUCUGCUGAGCCAGAUAUGAAUUUGCAGACGUGCUCUUCACAGAUUUGUUUCAGUUACCUAAGGUGCAGCCUACUGGAACUUGCCUACCAUCUGCCUUUGCCAGAAUAUUUUCCUCCAUGCAGAAAUUAUUCUAGUACAUUUUAAGGUCUCCAAAGCCCAUCAAAAGCAGAGCUUGACAGAUAAUAAACCAAAGGACUGGAAAGUGACUGGGAAAAUGGAUAAAUGAGAUGUCAU